GGGGCUUCUGCCAGCUAUGGUGUAUAGUAAGUCACAUGGCAACAAAGCCAGCAUGCCAACAUCAGAUGAGGUUUGCCUUGCUUGGGGUGCAUCCCAACAGGGCAAAUAAAAGAAUUUGGAGGAGCAACGGUGGGCAUUGCAUAAUGAAUAACAAAGCUGCAUUAGUGAAGGUCUUUGUACAUUGAAUACACUUUGUAUCUUUUUAUGAUAUGAUCCAUGUUUAUAGGAGCAAUUUUACAGGCAGUUCUCAGAACUGGUGCACAGUAAGGUCAAAAAGCCAAACUGGCUGUUUCUGGUUCAGCUGCUCUGACAGGAAUGCAAAAUGUAAUACCAAUUCUCUUUAGUGAUUAACCA